UACGUAGGGUGCGAGCGUUGUCCGGAAUUACUGGGCGUAAAGAGCUCGUAGGUGGUUUGUCGCGUUGUUCGUGAAAACUCACAACUCAAUUGUGGGCGUGCGGGCGAUACGGGCAGACUGGAGUACUGCAGGGGAGACUGGAAUUCCUGAUGUAGCGGUGGAAUGCGCAGAUAUCAGGAGGAACACCGGUGGCGAAGGCGGGUCUCUGGGCAGUGAACUGACGCUGAGGAGCGAAAGCGUGGGGAGCGAACAGG
rnacentral:rRNA from 1 species